rnacentral:rRNA from 1 species
UACGGAGGGUGCAAGCGUUAUCCGGAUUCACUGGGUUUAAAGGGUGCGUAGGCGGGCAGAUAAGUCAGUGGUGAAAUCUCUGGGCUUAACCCAGAAACUGCCGUUGAUACUAUUUGUCUUGAAUAUCAUGGAGGUAAGCGGAAUAUGUCAUGUAGCGGUGAAAUGCUUAGAUAUGACAUAGAACACCGAUAGCGAAGGCAGCUUACUACAUGUUAAUUGACGCUGAGGCACGAAAGCGUGGGGAGCAAACAGG